GUGUAAUGCAACAUGUAAUGCAACCAAUGUGGACAGAUGUUGCACGUUGCAGCUCUUGUUGCAAAACGUGUUCGCUCGCGAUCCGAUCAUUGUCGGUUUUUGGCGCGCCAUCAAAGGAAAUUUCAGUUGCAGUGUGGACGGCGUUUAUCGUGCAUGUGCAUUCGUACAAACUAUAUAUCCGCGCAUUUGAAAGAUGGACGAUUGGGACGAGGAAAAAGUGCUUCUCCUUAUUCAACUGUAUCGGGAAAAAGAAAACAUAUGGAAUCCCCGAAAUGAAAAUUAUAAGAAAACGCAUUUAAAGGUAGAUACCUGGAAUGAAAUUGGAGACGCUCUCGCCAGUACGGGCGAAAUUUGCAAAAAAAAGAUGACAAGCGUUUUAUCGUCGUACAGAAGUGAGAAAGCGAAAGAAACAAAUACACAUGGUACUGGAAAAGGUUCAGCGGAAGUAUACAAAAGCAGAUGGUUUGCGUAUGAUGCUCUGGCCUUUCUGAAUGAAAGAAACCAACCGCGAAAACGAUCUAAUACCAAUUGAAUGGGGCUUGAAUUACCACAUGUUUGCCGUCCAUACUACCCAAACAAUGCGGAAAAUUCCACUGAGAUUCAUAUUCUUCUGCUAUUUUUAUCCAUUCAUUAGGAGAAUCGGGCAACUGAAAUAAAAAAAGGUCAUUGAUGAUGAAAAAAACGUAAACGAAACAUCGGCGGAGGGAAAGGUCGAUCAAGCAGAACCACGUUCUGCACCAAUACCACCCAAGAAGAAACGACCCACCGACCAAAAACUGGACUUAUUGAAGCAAUCAUACGGAAUAUUAAAAGCGGCCUCAGACAACGUUAAUUCACUUUCUAAUCAAAUGAGUAUUCAGAAUGAAGAGGUUCGGUAUUUUUGUGGAUUCAUUGGAAAUAAAAUGUCUAAAUAUUCAGACAUAACUAGAGCUUCAGUUCAACAUGCAAUUCACAAUAUCAUUUUUCAAGCUGACCGUGGGUUCUAUGAGGCCACCUAUACCUGAAACAUGCACUACAUGGGACCAUCUACAUCAACUACUUCAUUUGCACAACACAUACCAAAUACAUAUUCGAAUAACACGAAUUCAUUCUUUAAUCAACUACAGACAGGACAAAUUCCCGGGCAGCAUUCUUCCACACUUCCGACACCGACAGCUGAAGUCCCCACACCAUCUCCAUGUUCAUCUUCAGUACAUUCAUACACUCAGAUCUCUGAAGAAACAUCACAAUCUGAAGAACCUCAGUUUGAAGAUUUACUCUAAUGCAUAACUCAUAAAUUCAAAUAGAUUUGUAAUUUAACAUGAAAUACAGUUUUGGUACUUACUU